GAGACCUGGGAUGAACUCCUCCCUCUGACAUUGACUGCUUGUAUGACCCUAGGUCAAGAAGAACCAUUGUAUAAAUUACUUCUGAGGAAAAAAGAAGUGCAGAUUGGAGAUUUGUGACAUCUGCACAUUUGAAAAAUGGCUUUAUCCAAAUCAUCGAGAAAAAAAACCAGCAUAGAACCAAGUGAGGAUCCCUGGGAUACUCUACUAGGUAUCUGCUUACAAGUUGACUUCAUUGGUUAUUACUCUUUGGUCUGGACCAUUUAACAAGUUUCAA